AAAAAUAGAGAGGUAUAAGAGGAAUUUUCUAUCUUACGGGAUUCCGCCACACGAACACAGGCUCUGAGUGGAGGUUUGCAGCUGUUGCACAGACAGCCUGGACCACAACGUUACUAUUUGUGUGAUAAAGUCUCGAUGGAAUGCAACAAACAUUUGGACUUCAUGCCUCGCCUCGGUACUUCAUUAAAAAGCAAAGGGAUUCGGAUUCCAAUAUUAAUUCAAAACCGGUGGCAGGAAACUUCAAGCUGCAAGCUGAAAAUGCAUGGCU